AAAAAAGCUCAAAUGAGUGAGAAGGACGAUGAAGGAAACAUCUGUGCUGUGUCUGCUCUUACGACUAUUCACUGACAUCUUAAUCCUGUGUUCUCCUGAGCUUGAACCUGAACAUCAGACCAACCAUUGACUGCAGGAGACAUGAGCCUCAGACCAUCUCACCAUCAUCAUCAUCAUCAUCAUCAUCAGCCCAGAACACUGUUACAGCUGAGUCUGGACAGGACGUAGUUCUACCAUGUCGAGUUCCAUCAGACAAAACCAUCAGAGCUGUGAAGUGGAUCAGAGCUGACCUGGGAGAUGAAUAUGUGCUUUUUUACCGAGAUGAUCAGCUGGAUCCAGAAGAGCAGCAUCCAUCUUUUAAGAACCGGGUGGAUCUGCAGGACAGGAAUCUGAAUAAUGGAGACGUGUCUCUGGUUCUGAAGAAUGUGACGACUGCUGAUGAUGGAUCAUACAGUUGUAAUAUUUUCAACCAAGUGACAAAAUCAUGGGAGAUCAUCAACACUGUCAGCCUGACUGUUUCAGGUCAGACAGCAGAACUCACAGUUGCACCUGUUGGACUCAUCGCUGGUCUGAGUGUUCCUGCUGUGAUUCUUGUUGCUGCUGUUGUUGGUUUUCUGUGUUACAGAAAACAUAAACAACAGAACCGGGAUUUUAACUAGCAUCCUCAUGAACAGCAGGUUUCAAAUGUCUCUACGGUUUAGUAUGUUUAAAUUAACAAAACACUAAACUUACAAAACAACACUGGUUUAAAAACUAAUUGUUUAAUUUAAUCCUGGAUCACACUACAUGACAUCACUACAGAGUUCAGACAAAUGAUGCAUCAUUUACCCGAAUCGCUAUAAUUCAGAGAAAUCCUGGAAAAAAAUAUUAGGACAUAAUAAGUGACAAGUUUCACCUGCUCUAUGUGUAACUCAAUGACCUCUAACACCUGAAAUCCUUUAUUGUAUGAAGGUAAAAUAGCUUCAAUGUUCAUCAUCUAUCCAGAUCUGUCACAGUGACAUGGAACCGCCCACCGUAUUAUAAAUCCUUUCCAUUUAAUGUAUUUAAAAGGUGGAGGUGUUGCUCUUCCAUCGCUGUCACUGGCAGAUCUGAAUGAAUACUGACCUUAAAAGUGAAGGUGAACCCUGUUUGAAUGACAGCAUGUUGUUUACCAGUUCAUUAAUAUUAGUGAAUGACUCUGGGUCAGGGAUGUCAAACUGGUUUUACAUCGUUGGCCACAUUAAACUCCCCUCAAUGUAAAGUAGUUUAAGUGCACGUUCAAUCUGACAUAUCUCAGUGUAAGAAAGAGAAGUGCAACUUUACCAGCACCUCUGAGUUUUCUCUAAUAAAUUUCUGUACUUGAUGGUGAAAAAACAGGAACUUUCUGUAACUUAACAGCCUGUUUAUUGUUUAUUUACUUUGGUGUCGUAUGAAUCACCUUUGAUGAGGUCGUCAGCUGUAAAGCAGCAAAGCUGCAUUUUCCAAAGCCACCCAGUGGGCCUCUGAUGGGCAGAUUAGGGCCCCCGUGCCUUAUGUUUGACACCCCUACUCUAAGUCUUGUGGUCUGACCCAGAGAGGUAAACUCUGACGUUGACUUAAAAACAAAACUGAGAAAAAGAUAUAAUAGGACAGGAUGGUUGAAAUUUUCAUCUGUCGUGUUUGGAACAUGUUUGUUCCCCAAUAGCAGCUAAGUUUAUUAUUUAUUCAUUAUCAUAGAAACAUUAUAGCAGGUUAUGAUAUGGAUGUGUUACUCAGAGAAUUGAAUUUGUAACCUUUGACCUUUGUGAAGCUUUUCAGCUUAAAAUGUCAGAACGACCAGACACUAAAGACAAACCCACUGCAUAAAGGAAACUUUACUACACUAUGUAAGGAGCAGAAGACACUAAAAUACUGAAUUAAAACUAAAACAUUUUCAUUUUCACUCCAAGGAGGAGUGAUGUCAGUGUAGCUUAGAGGAAGUCUGAAAUAGUCGACAGCCAGGAUCACAAACACUACACAGUUUCUGAUUCCAUCCUUUCUCAUGUAAAUAACUAGUUAAUGUAACUCUUCUUUCUAGAUAACAAUUUGAUGUCAAACGUGACUCGUGUGAGCAAAGUAAAGGCUUUUCAAACUAUUUUCUAUCCAUCCGUCCAUCUAGUGGCUCUAAGCACUCACUGCAGCUGUUCGUAACUUCAAACAUUAAAAAAUGCAUUUAAUACACAUCACUACACUAACAGACUAACUAACCGCUUGAAGAGAUGAGUGGUGAUCAUAUUAAACCAGGUCAAAUAUCCACGUUCAUGUUUAAAUACUGCAGAACUCUGUAAAAACAGCAGUAACAUCAGUGAUGAUGGUGAAACGACAGGGAGUAAACAAACCACAAAAUGGGACUAAAUGGGACCAGUGAGGAAGUGUCAGUACAAUAAAAAGAUGCAGAAAAGAAACGAUGGAGUAAAAAAACUAUUUUAAAAGGAAAACACAAGAAGUCUGAUGUGUUUUGUUCUUUCAGGUCAGGAGAUCAUACACGCGGAUAGAUUUUUUUUUAAUCUAAAGAUAUUUACUUUGCACACAGGAACAUGUGAGAUAUGAAAAAUGUUCAAAGUAAAUAGUUUUGACUCAUAUUUGUUGAUUGAUUUAUGACUGACUGCUGCAGUCUGGAGCAUGAAUGUGAUUUUUGUUUAUAUGUAUGAUAUACUGGAAUGUUCACUUGUUAAUGCUUUUCUGCAAUGUGCUGCACUACAGAAAUAAAAGUAAUAUUUGAAAAUCA